rnacentral:rRNA from 1 species
CCUACGGGAGGCAGCAGUGAGGAAUAUUGGUCAAUGGACGCAAGUCUGAACCAGCCAUGCCGCGUGCAGGAAGACGGCUCUAUGAGUUGUAACCUGCUUUUGUACGAGGGUAAACGCAGAUACGCGUAUCUGUCUGAAAGUAUCGUACGAAUAAGGAUCGGCUAACUCCGUUCCAUCAGCCGCGGGAAUGAGGAGGUUUCAAUCGUUAUCCGGAUUUUUUGGGUUUAAAGGGUGCGUAGGCGGUCGGAUAAGUUAGAGGUGAAAUCCCGAGGCUCAACGUCGGAAUUGCCUUUGAUACUGUCCGGCUAGAGAGUAGUUGAGGUAGGCGGAAUGUAUGGUGUAGCGGUGAAAUGCUUAGAGAUCAUACAGAACACCGAUUGCGAAGGCAGCUUACCAAGCUACUUCUGACGUUGAGGCACGAAAGCGUGGGGAGCAAACAGGAUUAGAUACCCCAGUAGUC